GCCACGGUGGUCUAGCGGUUAGAACGCGGGCCUUGUAAUCCUGGGGGCUCGGGGUCGAUUCCCGACGGUGCCC
rfam:Zootermopsis nevadensis contig23962, whole genome shotgun sequence.